UGUUAAACUGAUGUACGUUUCUCUUUGGUAUAAAGGACACGUGACACAGCCGCCAUGUUUCGAUGUGGUGCUCUAUUUCUUUUGUCUUAUCUUCAUGAUAAAGGCGCCAUGUCAAUAGGAAAGAAUAAGCUCAGGUUAUGUCAUAUAGCAAUCGGAAUUGCAGUUCUGAUGACAAGUCUUGUGGGUGGCUGCAGUGUGUGGAAUGAGGGGAAAUCGUGUAUGUGUGAAUGUGAAGACAUCUCUAUUGGCUGCAGGGCGAAGUGUUAUGGAUUGUGUAGCGGGGGAUGUCACGGAGCUGUGGAACUAAUCAACCAAAGACAUUGCUACGACAAUUGUCACCACGACUUUCAAUACUGCACAAACUCUUGUUAGGAAACAAGAAAUCAAGCAAAAUU